GAUUAAGUGUCGUAAGGGCAUUUGGUGGAUGCCUUGGCAUGCACAGGCGAUGAAGGACGUGAUACGCUGCGAAAAGCCGUGGGGAGCUGCGAAUGAGCUUUGAUCCAUGGAUCUCCGAAUGGGGCAACCCACCUUAAAUGCUUGGAAAAUUUAAGACGAUCUGUUGAUCGUCUUAUCUUUCCAAGCAUUGUGAUAAGGUAUCUGCACCUGAAUACAUAGGGUGUAAGAAGCGAACGCAGGGAACUGAAACAUCUAAGUACCUGCAGGAAAGGACAUCAACCGAGACUCCGCA
rnacentral:rRNA from 1 species